CGGCACAGCCAGACAAACCACCUGGGGCAUCCACCUGGGGCAUCCCGGAUGGGCUGUGAGGCCUGAAGCUGCGGGUGCGCCAACACACUCGGGAGCUAGUUCCCCUGUCCCAUGGGGCCUAGGGAACAGCCCACCGGAUCCUGCCGGUAAAAUGAAAGGAUCUCCCGGAUCCCGGGAAACGAUCCGUGCAACCAAAGGCAGAGAUUUCAUGGGAAACAUUCCUUACGGCUUAACUCUGCCUAGAAGUCCAGGAAUACCGCAAAAGUUAUGGAUCCGGAGAAAAGAAAAGAUUAAACCGACUGAAAAAAAUCCGAGAGCGAGGCGAGUGUGCGGGUGUCCUCGCAACAGACCCGCCUCCGCGCACGCACAGCGGAGGUGUCCCUGCAGCGGGAGGAGAGCUCGGAUCCGCGCGCUGGCCACCGGCUCCUGGGGGUAGCUCUGCCGGAGCCACCCGUUCCCGAGAAAGAAGGACCCCGGCCGAGAUGGGUCUGGUAACGCGUCUCGGUGUUGAACCCGUGACAACUUACCCCGUAUUUCUUGCCCCGGUUGGAGACCGCAAGCCUCUCUUUAUUCCCAGCUACCGAAUUCAUGGUGGCUUUUCCCGAGGAGAGUCUAAAUGUUCCAAUAAUGUUACAUCCAAAAGAUCUGCCAACCAGAAGCGUUCCCCAAUUGUAAGAGGUUGUCUCUUGACCCUCAAAUCAAGAUUUCUUAAUUGUGGGUUAGAAAGAAUAAAAGCAAAUGGACCCCAGAAGUAAUUGCACCAAUUUGCAGAAAA